AGCGAAGAGCGCUUACUCUGCUUCAGCUCUCUCACAGAUGACACCCCGAGUCCUCUGUGCUGGGUGUCUUUAUAUUUCUGGAAGUUUCCUGAGCAUAAAAGUUUUAUAGCCCACUUUCCAACUCUACCAUAAAUCACCCCUUUCUGAAGCUUCCAGAAGCCAUCAGGAAACUGAGUCGGGGUCCCCAUGGGCUUCUCCAAGAUUAAGUUUUUGAUGCCAGAGUUCAGAGAUGCCCUGUGGAUUUGUCCUCAUGGGAGCAGAGCUGUUGGGGUUCG